UGAAGAGAAGAAGUGAAUUUGAGAAGUAAGAGACGGUUGCUGCUGGUGGAAGAAUUCGAGGAAGAAGAAAGCGUUCAUUUGAAGCGAAAAGGAGCAAAGAAGCAGAAUAGGCAGUCAGUUUGCUGAGACUGACAAGCCAAUUAUCACUGUGUGGCCCUCAAUUUACAUUUCCUACGCAAGCCUAAAAGUUGGAGAAAAUCAUUUCUCUAAUCAUUAUUUGGUGUUUUUCUCAUCAUCUGUCUGUAUGAGUGGCGGCUCUGAGAUCUGAGAGAAAUUGGUGAAGAGAAUCAAGGGAGAAGAAAUCUGUUGCUGUGAAUUGAAGUGGAUUUUGUGAUGAGUUAGAUGAAGAAGAGACGGGUUUGUAGUGAUUUGUGUUGUUCCAGCCAGAGAAGAUAAGACAGGAAAUCGAGAAAUCGAGAAGAACCAGAAGAGAUUGAUGAAGAUUAAGGAGAUGGGUGUUUUGAGUCUGUUUCUGUUGUGAGUAUUAAGUUGUUGAAUUUGGGUCUUACCAGAAAUUUCAGAAGUUAGGGUGUGCUUCAUAUUCAAUUGAAUUACAGGGUUUGAACUGGGUUGAUUAGAAGACUCAGGUGAGAAUAAAUUGCAGAUUUAGAUGAAUGAUUAGGACAGGGGUUAUCUCAGAUUUGAACUCAAAUCGAAGUUAUGGUGCUGAGGCUUGAGAAAUUAAAGCCUGUAGGGGUUUGUGUGGAUGUUAGGGUUCUUAAAGGAAGAAGAGAUUAUGGGUGUUGCUGUUAAAUUCCUGAAUCUGAGUGUUAUUAUGGGUUGUUGAGCUGAUAUGAGUUACAGGGGGAAAAAUUGAGAUUGGGGUUCAUUGAAGCUGAUAAAAUGGGUGGAUCUGAAAUGGAAUUGCAGUUGCAGGUGGACUUAUUGGUGAUUCAGUUGGUGAUAACAUUAAGCUGGUGAAGAAUGGAUGAUCUUGAUGGUGUUUGGGUUGAUACAGAGAUGGAGCUGAGAUUGCUGCGACUAAAACUGGUGAUAUGCAUCUGUUCUGGUGGUUAUGAGACUCGCAUCUGCUGAGAGAAUGUACGAACUACAUGCAAUGGUCAUGUUGCAUAGUGGUUGAAAACUAGUGGCAUUUUGUUACAGUGAAGCCAAGAAAGAUUGCAAGGUUGAAAUUGGUUUGUUCUGGGAAUUAUAGGAAAUGUGCUAAGUUGUGUUGAUGCUGCUGCUGUGUACUGCAAUUGAAGAAUGAAGUGGUUACAAUGAAGAUGCUGCAGCAAAGAAGAAACCUAAUGCAUGGCUGAGAAGACGGUGGUGAUUUUGAGUAUAUAAACAACUGAUGGCUAGAACGGGACUGCAAGUAAAGCAGUGGUGACUGUAAUGAGGUUGAAGUAAAUGGGAGUAAAGGUGAGCUUACGAUGUUGUUUGAAUGAAUGAAAUGGAACUGCAGGUGAUGAUGCAAUGGUGGAGAUUGAUAUUCAGAUGAAACUGGUGUUGUGUACUGAUGGGUUUGAAUGGCUGGUACUGAGAUAAAGGGUAUAAGAUGGUGUUUGUGGGUCGGCUAUGCAAUUAUACUAGGCAGAAGUGGUUUAGUGUUGCUGCAGUCUGUAUUAGAGAUGCAGUGAAGAGAUGCAUUGAAGCUGAAAUUAGAUGGUUUCUGGUUGAAUGAUGCAGAAAUGGACCUGGUUGUGGAAGCUAGUAGUGUUGCAGAGAAGGCAUGGUGGUAUUGAGCUGCAACAGAUAGAAACAUCAGCUGGUAGUGUCGUGUGUUUGGCUCAGAAAUGGGUUGUGCAGUGAGCAAAUGCCGUGGCGAUGGUAUUACAUGCAACUGUAAUUGCAGGUUGUGAACUUGAGGCAGAUGGAGAACAAGAGAAUCUACAGUUGGGAGAGAUUGCACCAAAGAACCCAUCAUGGUUGGAGCUGAAGCAGCAAUGCAUCACUAUGGCGCGACAUUAGUUUGGCCUGUGCAAAUCAAAGCAACUCAGCUCAUGCAGGCUAGUAAGAAUCUGACUCGUUUCUGACUAGUGACAUCACUAAGUUGAGUUAGCGGACUCGGUAUGACUUUCCGAGUUGACUCGGUUGACUGAACUGUGACCGGUGACCGGGUGGACUUUGCCGGUCAUCUGAGCUGCUUUCUGGUGACUUUCUCGGCGACCUCUCCGGCCAACCUUUGGGACUUCAGCAACAUAUAUUUGGGUGUAUUUUCCACAUGGGUUUUUCUCACACAUGGGCUUGGUGGACUCUUAUUUAUUGGACUUUUGAAGACUUGACCUAAGAAGAGACAUAAAAUGGAGGAUUUUUACAACUUGAAACAUCACGUAUUCUACUUGGAGUACUGGAGGAGAGCCAGAUACUAGGGUUUGCUUAUUGUUUCAACUUCUUUAUCUCAAUAUUAUGAUGAUGAACUCCAAAAUUAUGAGUAGCUAAAACAAUCUUUGAUUAAAGGUAAGGGUGAUUUCAAAGCCCAAAAUAUGAACUCAUGAUUGAUAUGCAAUAUCUCGUUUUCUCGCAA